rnacentral:rRNA from 1 species
UACUGGCUUCCCAUAGUACGGCGAGUGACCGGGAAAAGCUCAAAUUUGAAAUCUGGCUGUCUUCGAUAGUCCGAGUUGUAAUCUAUAGAAGCGUUUUCCGUGCUGAACUGUGUCUAAGUCCCUUGGAACAGGGUAUCAAAGAGGGUGAUAAUCCCGUACUUGACACAAUCAUCAGUGCUCUGUGAUACGUUCUCUACGAGUCGAGUUGUUUGGGAAUGCAGCUCAAAAUGGGUGGUAAAUUCCAUCUAAAGCUAAAUAUUGGCGAGAGACCGAUAGCGAACAAGUACCGUGAGGGAAAGAUGAAAAGCACUUUGGAAAGAGAGUUAAACAGUACGUGAAAUUGUUGAAAGGGAAACGAUUGAAGUCAGUCGUGUUCAUUGGAUUCAGCUAGUUCUUCUAGUCUACUUCCUUUGAACGGGUCAACAUCAGUUUUGUCCGGUGGAUAAAGGAUUUAGGAAUGUGACUCCCUCGGGAGUGUUAUAGCCUAGGUUCACAUACACUGGGUGAGACUGAGGACUGCAGCUCGCCUUUUGGCCGGGGUUCGCCCACGUUCGAGCUUAGGAUGUUGACAUAAUGGCUUUAAACGACCCGUCUUGAAA